CUCUCUCUCUCUCUCUCUCAAAAAAUAAAACUAAAAGCAACCAAGAAAAAACAGAGUCCUUACGAAUGCUAAUAACCAUCAGUUUCUACUUUGCACACUUUGGAAAAAAUGUGUGCUUAAUCCCGUAGGAAUUGAGAAGUUGAUCCUGUCUAGGCAGUUGUGGUGGAGCCUCACCACUGUAGAAACCAUAGGAUUUUCCCAGGUAUCCAGUCAAGUAAUGUUAGUCUCUGCUGACCAUAGUGUUGACCUUGAAUUAGUGCAAGUGCGCCAGUGGAGGUGAGGUGUUGCCUAAUGAUGGAAGGGAACAUGUUCAUGUUCAAGUGAGGAAGAUGUGCCCAACAUUGGUGUUAAUGUGUUUCUCUUUUGAAAACUUUAUGAGUAUCAGAUUAAAAUCUUUGCUAGUGUGCACGUAUGACGUGAUGUGGUAUUAAAUGAUUAAAGACCUUUGUUUUACAGUUUUAUUUUUCAGUAAUUUCUACCCCCAGCAUGGAGCUCGAGUUCACAACUCUAAGAUCAAGAGUCCCGUGCUCAACCGACUGAGCCAGGCAGGUGUCCCUGAAGACACUUCUAUAUUGAGAUAUAUACAUGAUUUAUGAUCUCAAGUGUCUUAUGUUUAUUUCGAUUUGGGCAUGUAUUCAGUUAAGACUUUAAAUGGUCCCUAAUGAUAUUCAUGGUAAUAGGAUUUUUUUGUAUUCCUGUUUAAAAAUAUGUACUUAACAUACUAGUGGUAGACGGAUUUGCAGAUAUCCAGCAAAUUUAACAUAUUGUCCUGCAGUACUUUAUUGACUAUGGAAUCAUUAUAAGUAAUGUGAAGAGAGGAAGGUGUGUCUUCCUAAGGAUUGACCUUGGAGUUCUCCAAGUAUCCGUGUAGUGUCGAUGGGUCCUGAAAUGAUACAGGGGCCAAGGGAUUUGCAGGUGUAGACUUAGAAUGAGACAUACACCAGAAAUAUUUUCUCCACUGGUAUUUUUUGUGUUUUUUUUUUUUUUGAGACUGGUGUCAAUGAAUCACAGUGACCCCGGCAAUGAUAGGUAACAGAGACACUGCUGAUGUCACAGUAGAGAUGAUGUAGGCCUAAGCCACAGCACUGACCAUCUGCUCUUCAGAAAGCUAGGUAUUCCGGCAGGAAAUGACAGAUUCCUUACUACUCGACACCAUGAGUUUUCAGCGUUUAGACAAAAUUCUUGUUUAACUCUGAAUGAUGUGGGAUUGCACGUAUCAGGUGUUUGUUGUUAUGUCUCAACCACGGUAGUGAUCAUGGAAACUUUGCAGGUGCUCUGUAGAAGUUGUAUUCCUUGAAAGUGAUCUUGACCUUGGAGUACUACAGCUAUUCAAGCAGAGGUAAUGCUUUCAUAAUGAUGGAAAUGACUGAGCUCAUGUAUAGGUGCCCUGCUAGAACAAGCUGUGUCCUUUCACCCAUGUAUCAUACUGUGUUUUCCAGGUUUCCUGUCGAGAUCAUGAUGAACGUCCCGCUAGUGAUUCUCUGGGGACAUUUCUGUUCCCCAGACAAGUGAUGAUGUUCACCUCCACUGUUUCAAAUGAUCUGAUCUUCUCAUAUCGAUAUAUGUGUGAUUGAUGGCCUAAACUUCCUUACCGUGUGUGUGUGUGUGUGUGUGUGUGUUUAUGCGUGUAUGUGUGUGUGUGUGUGUGUGUGCACGUGUGUGUUUUCGAUAAUCAGGUAAGAAAUGACAGCAUUUUGCCAAUUACUGCUCUCGUGCAAUUUUAGUGUUUCCUAUUUCAGAGAAAGACUAUGUUUACUUCUGUGAGUGAUAGGUGAAUUCUGACGUGAAUAGCCAUAAUCAUGGAGUUGUGUGAUGGGGUAGUACCCUUGGUAUUGUGCAGGUGAGCAGGAGAGUGGUGAAGGUGUGGCUCUCUUUGGCAUAGACCUUGAAGGACUGCAGCAAUGCGGGAAGAGCGGAAGGGUCCUGCAGUGAGGGCAAUGAACAAGAUGAUGUGCCGUGGCCUAGUAGAAGAGGAGUGUCCAUAGACGCAUCGUUCGCAAAGUGGUUUUUAAAUUACCAUCGAGAGGUCAUGGUAAAUUUCAAGAUGGUCAUUGAUUAGACUUUGCAUCUGUUCAAGUAAGUGGUGAUAUGGGCCUUAAGCACCCUACAAAUGGAUUUUCAGAUAUUUAGGCAAGGGUAGGUGGUGUUCCUAACUGUUCUGUUACCAUGUGUCUAUGCAGGUGUUCGGUUCAGAAAUGAUAAUGUUCCAACCAGUGCUAGUAAGUAUGAGCCCUUAUUUCUGUUUUUAAAUUGAGAUCUAAUGUGUAUUUAACUUCAGUGGUGAUAACGGAAUAUGCAUUUCCAGGGGACUUUUAGCCAGCAAUAGUGACCAUGAGAUUUCUAGAAGUACUGCUAGAAGAGAUGUUAGUGUGUCUAACAAUGGUGUUGACAUUCAAGUUGGGCAAAAUCCAUAUCGUGUUAUGUUUUCCCUAAUGAUGGAAGUGACCCAGAUUAUUGGGAAAAAAGGCUAUUUAUUUAUUUAAUUUUGUUUAUUUUUAUUUUUUGGCAGGCAAACAAGUUGUAUCCUGCCACAGGCUUGUUGAGUGUUUGUGUCAAGAUUCUAGCAGUCCUGACAUCACAGUGACCCAGACCGUCGUCAUCAAUGGGAACUUGCUGGUAACCAGGUAUGUGAUAAAGUGGGUUAUCAUAAUAGACAUAUCUGAUGCUCAACUCUCCAGGUGAGUGAGGUUAGUGUUUCUAGCACAGUGUACCGUGCUUUUUUGAACGUUUCCUAUUGACUUCUUUGCUAGUUCUUUACCGAUUCGAGAUGAUGUAAGUGUAAGUCAUUAGGUACAUUCGCUUUGUAUUGGAGACACAGUUUGUUUGACCCUGUGAGCAUUGAGGGAUAACACAUAUGGAAGUAUUUACGACCGUGUCUUCCCCACAGUCCUCCCCAUGGGCUUUCUGCUGGUGGCCAGUGAAGUGACACUGAGUUUGUCUGACAUCAGUGUUGAUCCUUGAUUACUGAAAGUACCAGGUGGAGUUUGUGUGCCUAUCAUCACGGAGUACCCAGGCUAUUUCCAGAUACUGGCUAACACAAGUCGUUUCCUUUCACGUAGAUUUCAUAAUGUCUUGACAGAAACCUGAAAAGACAUCACUGUACGCCUGACAUGGAAGGAGAUGGCAGACAUGGCUGAUAUGUCCGCAGGUAGGUGAGGAUGUGGGUCUCAACCCCGGCACAGGCCGUCUGAUCUCCAGAUAGCUAGGUAAGUGACGAUGGUGUCUCUUAGCGUUGGGACCCUGAUUUCUUUGCAGGUAUUCAGGUAUGAUUUGAUAGUCCUUACUGAUCCUAGAAACCAUGAGUGUUUACCGGUUAUGUUUUAGAAAAGACUUUUGCUUAGCCUUGUGAGUGUUGGGAGAUUGCCAUAUCCAUGGAAUUAACAUAUACCCUCAACCACAGCCAUAACCGUGAAAAUGUUGCAGGUGUCCUGUGAAGACAUAUUAUCCUAACUGGUGAUGAUUUUGACCUUGGAGGAUGCCAAGCAUUCAGAUAGAGCUGAUGGGUCUCAUGAGGAGAAAGCGACCAAGGUUAUUGCAGGUGUCCUGGUAGAACAAAUUGUGUCCCUUUACACAUGUGUUGUAUUGUGUUUUUUAGGUGCCCGUCAACGAGUUCAAUGCACCUGACAAGGGUCAUCAAGGCGGGGACAUUUCUGGCCUUCAGGUAUAUGAUGAGGUGUACCUGCACUGUAUCAGACCCUCUGAUGUUCGUGAAUCUCUUUGUGCUAAGUUUUGUUAAUUGCUUGAACUUGUUUACCAUGUGGGUUAUGUGAAGCAUUCUGGGAGAAAUGAUAGUAUUGUUACCAAGUCUAGCAAACAUAUUAUCCCAACAUUUGAUGCUUUAGAGGAAAUUACAUUUAACCAUGUGAAUAUUUAGUGAUUCAUGGCUAUUCACGUAACAAUCAUGGAGUUGCGGGUCACAGGCGUUACCAUGGUAUUUUGGUAGGUGAGCGAUGAAGGCAUAAUGGCGUCUGACAGUGGCCUAGACCUCGGCGUACUGCAAGACCCCAGGUGGGUUUGAUGGGUCCUACAGUGAUGGAAGCAUACACAGAUACUUCCCAUGUCCUAGUAGAGGGGGUCAUUCAUGGACCCGUUUAUCAUACGUGGUUUUCACUCGAUCUUAGCCAAGACGCUGAGGAGUGAUGUCACAAUGUGUUUUUCCCGGUCCUGUCCAGAAAUCACAGUGAGCCUCAUACUGACCAGACCUAGGACUGUGCCUUUCCAGGUGAGUAAUCACGCGGGCCUUCACCCUGGAAACAACCUAGCCAUCUGGUAAGUGGAUAAGUGUGGAUGGAUUUCCCAAGUUGUUGUUAGUAUGCUUUUGUCUUUGUUUUCUUUUUUUUGACAGGUAUUUGGGUAAGGAAUGACACGCUCCCCACAAAUGGUAGGAUGCAUGCUAGUGAGUAUUUUAAAGUUUAGAUAGAAUGUGUGUUUAGCCCUAGUGGUGACAGAGGGAUACACAGGUGUGCAAUUCCCACGGCCACAGCACAGUAUGAGCCUGAAAUUUUAUAGGUACUCAGGUGAUAAUGGUUUCUCUAACAAUGGAGUUGACCUUGAAGCUCUAGUUCCGCCAAGGUCCAAAGUGUUGAUGAUUCCUCUAAUGAUGGAAAUAUCUUACAUGUCAGUUGUGUUUUUUCAGGUUAUGGUAGUCCGUCAUGUUACAGUGACCCUGGUUAUGCUCUUUCAUGGGACCCUGCUAGUAACCUGGUAAGUGGUAUUGUGGAUGUGACACUAUAGUUGAGAUCAGCUGUUCUUAAGAAUUCUAGGUAGGUGAGGAUGGCGUCCCAAACACUGACCACAGCGUUGAUAUGUUUUCUUUUCCGAAGAAAUCAUGUUAAAGUCUUUGCUGUUGCAUGGGAAUCAGAUGAUGUCCCAUUAUCACAUUAACUCAUUAGAACACCAUUUUUUCAGGUAUGUAUCUAAUUAAUGAUUUGAAUACUCUUACAUUACCCAUGGUUCUGGCUUGUAUGCAGUGAAAUUAAUUUCUCCGUAACAAUAUUUGGAAUACAGACUAUUUUGAUAUAUCCUUCUUUCAACUUUUAUUUAUUUUUGGGACAGAGAGAGACAGAGCAUGAACGGGGGAGGGGCAGAGAGAGAGGGAGACACAGAAUCGGAAACAGGCUCCAGGCUCUGAGCCAUCAGCCCAGAGCCUGACGCGGGGCUCGAACUCCCGGACCGCGAGAUCGUGACCUGGCUGAAGUCGGACGCUUAACUGACUGUGCCACCCAGGCGCCCCUCGAUAUAUCCUUCUUGAGGGAAUGUGUUUUUCAACUCUAUUUGAAAAAAGAAUAGGCAGGUAUCCAGGUGAUCUAUGUUACUGUCCAUCUUCACAGUAUUGAACAUGGGUAUAGGUAUCUCUGUGAGAGAAGAAGGUAUUUCUUACCAGAAUUUAGUCUUGUACUUCCACAAGUAUCCAGCUUGUGGUGAUCAAUCUCAAAAUGGUGCCCUUGACCAAUGGAAUCUGCAGGAGAUCAGGUAGAAUCAGGCAUAUACUGAACAUAUUCCUGAUUGAUAGGCUCCCCAUAUUGAAUGAGGCAUACAGAAGUAUCUAGGUAAGUGAUGGUGUGGUCCUAACCACAGCACAGACCAUCCGAUCCUAAUAUGUAGGUUAGUGAUUGUGCCCUUAACACUUUUGUUACUAUGAUUUGGUUGCUGGUAUUCAGGUAAGAAAUGAUGGAGUCUCUACCAAGUCCAGUGACCAUGACUCUACACUUGCUACAUUUUGUACACAACUUAUACUUAAUCGGUGAGUGUUGACAUUCAAAUGUAUCUAUUGUUGUCAAGGAGUUUCCAUGAGAGUAGUCAACACCGUAUUGUUGUAUGCAUGUUGCAUACAACAUGAUGGUCUCUCUGACCAAAGUGUUGACCCAAAUUAAUGGAAGCAUCAAAGUAGAGUUGAUGUGUUCCAUAAUAAUGGAAGUGAAAAGGAUUAUUAGCAGGUGUUGUGGUGGAACAAGUUGUGUGCUUAAACAUAUUUUUCCUAUGUGUUUCUUCAGAUUCUUGUCAAGAAAACCCAGUGAACCUCACAGUAUUCACUGAUGGAAGCUUGCUCUUAACCUGGUAUCCCGUUAAGGCUUUUGCUGUGUUAUACAGACGAAGUCAAGCCCUCACCCUGAGCUUCCUAAUGAUAACUUAACAUGGGACAUUGUCGUUAUCAAGGUAUGUGACGAUGUGGGCCUAAACCAUUGCACAGAUCAUCUGAUCUUCAUAGACAGAGGUAAGAGGUGACGGGUAUCCCUUACAUUUCUUGUCAGCAUCCUUCCUACAAGUAUUCACUUAAUAAAGGAUAGAUUCCAGCAGGCCCUGGGUGGCUCCGUUGGUGAAGUGUCGACAUUGACACAGGUCAUGAUCUGAUGGUUCAUGGGUUCAAGCCCCAGUCAGGCUCUGUGCUGACAGCUCAGGGCCUAGACCUGCUUCAGAUUUUGUGUCUCCCUCUCUCUGCCCCUUCUCCACUCAUGCUCUGUCUCUUUCUGUCUCUCUUUCAAAAAAAAAAGAAAAAGAAAAAAAGGAUAGAUUCCAAACCACAUCUGGGAACCAUUGUUUUGCACACUGUAUAUCGAAGAGAAAACUUACGUUUACCCCUGUGAGUGUUGAGGGAUCAUGGGUAUCCAAACAAGUGUCAGGAUGUUCUGUUGCCAGUAAGUAACCAUAGGAUUUUUAUAAGGGUCCUGUUAUUAAAUUGUGAUAUUAUCUGACAAUGGUGUUGACCUUAAUCAUAGAGUGUCCAUGGUUAUUUCCAGAUGUUAUGGUUUAAAAAAAAAAGUUGUAUCCCUUAGUAACAUACUUCACAAAAUGUUUUUCAGGUUCUUGUCAAGACGCCAUGGUGAGCCAGAAGUCAUUAACGAGGGGACAUCUCUGGUAUGCAGGUUCCGCUCAUGAGAUCAUAGUGAACCUCUUCAUGUUCAUUACCACAGACUUUGCAUGGAUCACAGGAAGUCAUGGUAUGAGCCAUAGGCACCUUAAAGAUCAGGUGAUCUUCAGAUACUGAGGCAAAUGAGGAUGCUGUUCCUAACCUUUCUCUGAGUAUUUUUGAUAGGUAUUCAGGUAAGAAACUGUCUCGUUCCUACUGAUGCUAGUAAGCAGUCGCCUUUGGUAGUUGAGAGUUUAGAUGUCGUGCAUGUUUAUACGUAGAAGGGACUGAGGGAUAAACAGGUGUCCACGUUAUCCCACUAUUCGAUACCAAACGCUACGGACCAAGAGAUUUGUCCAGAAGAAACGAUGGUGUGUCUAACAGUGUCAACUUUGAAUUCUACCAAGGUCGAGGUAGUGUUGAAGCUUCCCCAUUAACGGAGGUGACCAAGAUUAAUAGCAGGAGUCAUGGCAGCACACGUUGUUUUCUUUCUUUCUGUUUUUUAUUUGUUUUUUGUUUUUAUUGGUUUGUUGUUGUUGUUGUUGAACAGGUUGUGUUCUGAAACACAAUUGUUGCGUCUGUUUUCUCAGGUUCCAGGCAAGAGUUCACAGCAAAUGGAGCAAUGGUCAUUUGGGGGACGUUGUUAGAAAGCAGGUAAGUGAUAAAGGAGGUGUUACUACGAUGUGGACUCUGUUCUUCAGUAUCUGGGUAAGGAUGUGUCCCCCACACAUGUGUCUGUUUUAUUUGCAGGUGUUCUGUUAAGUUCUUUGCUACUAGAGGCAUGAUGUGAUGGGACAUACGCUCACAAGAGACUUGUUGUUGCUUUCAGCCCUCUAGGUAAUCAAUAAGAUUUCCAAAACUCUUCGAAAAACCUGGUUUGGGGGCACGUAUACCGCUAAGAAAUUGAUGAGUCUUGAGCAAUUCUUGUUAGCCUGAGGAUUAACUGUCUUCUGAUUCAGAGAGAAUGUAUUUUGUAUACUUGUAGUGGUAACAGAUAGAGAAGUAACCAUGGAAUGUUUGCAGGUGUCCCUUUAAGGGAAGGUAUCUCUUACCAGGGUUACACAUUAGAUUUCUGCAGUUAUUCAGGUGAACCUGAUGAGUUACGAAAUGAUGGGACCGUCCAAGGGAAUUUUGUGGGCGUCCAGGCGGAAUGGGAUGUGUACCGAACACUUUGCACAGCGUGUUUUUCAGGUUCCUGUUAAGACCAGGCCUGUCAGUGGCAGUUAAAGAGGCACAUCGCAGGUAACGAGGUAAGUGAUUUGGACCCAAACCACAAGCACAGACCAUGUGAUCGUCGCACCUCUAGGUGAGUGAUGCUUAUGUCCUUAAUACGUCUUUUCACCGUGACAUAUUGCAGGUGUCCAGGUAAGAAAUGGCAGAGUCCGGGGGCGCCUGGGUGGCUCAGUCUUUUAGGCAUCCCUUCUUGAUCUCAGUUCAGGUCCUGAUCUCCCGAUGCAUGAGAUCAACUCCGCAUCGGGCUCGGGGCUGACAACACAGAGCCUGCUUGGGAUUCUCACUUUCCUUUUCUCCCUUUCUCCCUUUCUCCCUUUCUCCCUUUCUCUCUCUCUCUCUCUCUCUCUCUCUCUCUCUCUCUCUCCUCACUCACUCAAAAUAAAUACACUUAGAAAAAUAAGAAACGACAGAGUCCCUAGCAUUUCUAAUAGCCAUGGGUUUCUAUUUUUCACAUUUCAGAAAAAAUUUAUGGUCAAUCCUGUAGGUAUUGAGAAAUUGAUCCUGCCUAGGCAAUUGUGGUGGAGUCUCACCACUGUAGAAACCAUAGGAUUUUUCCAGGUAUCCAGUCAAGUAAUGUUAGUCUCUCCUGACAACAGUGUUGAUCUUGAAUUAGUGCAAGUGCGCCAGUGGAGUUGAGGUGUUGCCUAACAAUGGAAGGGAACAAGUUCAGGUGCAGGAGUCUUGAGAGACCACCUUGUGUCUGAAACACAUUUCAGUUUGUUUCCUCAGGUGGCUGUGAAGGAAACAGAGUGAACGGAAAAUGGUUCACACACCCUUGCUGCUAAGCAGGUAAGUGUUAAAGUGAGUCCUUCUAUAAUGAAGUCCUCUGAACUUCAUUAUCUAGGUAAGUGAGGGUGAUGUCCCUAACAUGGGCGGUAAUGUGUUUUGUUUUUUUUAAUUUUUGUGGGUAUCAGGUUAAGAUCUCUGCUAGUAUGGAGGUAUGAGAUGAUGUGAUAUUAACUGGUUAAAGACCUGUGUUUUACGGUUUUAUUUUUAAGUAAUCUGUACGCCCAGCCUGGGGCUCGAAGUCACAACUCCAAGAGGAAGGGUCGCCUGAUCCACCGACUGAGCUGGGCAGGUACCCCUAAGGUCAUUUCUGUAUUCAGAGAUCUACAUAAAUUGAUGAUUUCAAGUCUCUUCUGUUUACCUUGUUUUGGGCACGUAUUGAGGUAAGAGUUUAAUUUGUCCCGAAUGCUAAGGGUAGCAUACAAUUUUUUUGUAUUCCUGUUUAGAAAGAGGUAACUACCAUACUCGGGGUAGAUUUGCAGGUAUCCAGGUGAUUUAUCAUAUUGUCCUUCAGUACUUGAUUGACUAUGGAAUUAUUGCAAUAUACCUUGAAGUGAGGAAGUGGUGUCUUCCUGGGGAUUCAUCCGGGGAGUUCUGCAAGUCUCUAUGCAGUUGGACGGGUCGUGAGAUGAUAGAGUGACCGAGGGAAUUUGUAGGUGUAGAGGUCGAAUGAGACCCAUGCAAAAAUAUUUUCUACAGUGUUUUUGCUCAGACUCGUAUGGAUACAUUACAAUUAGCCUAUCAGUGGUAGCUAACAUGAGACAUUGCUGAUGUCACAAUACUGAUGACGUGGGCCUAAGCCACAGCACAGACAGACCACCUGAUCUGCAGAUAGCUAGGUAAGUGCUGGUGGGGUCCCUAACACUUGCCGUUACCUUGAUUUUCUGUAGGUAUCCGGUAGGAAGUGACAGUUUCCUUACUAAUGCUUGAAACCAUGAGUUUUCGGUGUUUAGAGAAAAUUCUUCUUUAAUUCUAAUGAGGGAUUGCACACAUCAGGUGUUUGUCAUUAUGUCUCAACCACAGGAGUGAUGGUGGAAAUUUUGCAGGUGCUCCGUAAAAGUUGUAUUACCUGACAAAGGUCUUGACCUUGGAGUCCUACAGCUAUUCAAGCAGAGGUUUCCUGUCAAGAGAUUAUGGUGAACUUCAGACUGGUGACCCUCUGGGGACAUGAUGUUCUCCUUCACCAUUUCAAACCAUCUGAUCUUCUCAUAUCUAGGUGCGUGUUAUUGAUGGACUAAACUCGCUUGCCAUGUCUUCUGGUUUUUUCCAGAUAAUCAGGUAAGAAAUGACAGUGUUUUACCAAUUACAGCAAUCAUGCUAUUCUAGUGUUCUCUACUUCAGAGAAAAUUUAUGUUCACUUAUUUGAGAGUGAGGUGAAUUUGGAUGUGAAUAGCCAUAAUCACGGAAUUGUGUGCUACGGGAAUACCCUUGGUGUUACUGAAGGUGAGCAGGGAACGGGUGAAGGUGUGUCUAUGGUUGGCAUAGACCUUGAAGGACUGUACCAAUCCAGGAAGAGUUGAUGGGUCCAGCAGUGAGGGCAAUGAACAAGAUGAUGUGCCGUGUCCUAGUAGAAGAGGAGUGUCCGUAGAUGCAUUGUUCACAAAGUGUUUUUUCAAUUACCAUCGAGUGGUCAUGGUAAAUUUCAAGAUGGUCGUUGAUGGGACUUUGCUUCUAUUCAGGUACGUGAUGGUAGGGGCUUAAGCACCCAGUACGUUGAUUUUCAGAUAUGUAGGUGAGGGCAGAUGGUGUUCCUAACUGUUCUGUUACCAUGUGUCUAUGCAGGUAUUCAGUUCAGACCUGAUACUGUCCCAACCAGUGCUGGUAAGUAUGAGCCCUUAGGUAUUUAUUCGUUAAAAUUUAGAUCUAAUGUGUAUUUAAUCUCGGUAGUGGUAAAGGGAUGUGUAGGUCCAGAGAACUUCUCCUCUUGCGCAACAAGCAUUGACCAUGAGAUUUCUACAAGUGCUGCUAGAAGGAGAUGUUAGUGUGUCUAACAGUGGUCGGCCAAGACCCGUGUUGUGUUAUGCUUCCCCCAAGUGACCAAGGUUAUUUGCAAAUAUACUGUUUUUUUGCAGGUAAACAAGUUGUAUCCUGCCACAGGCUUGUUGAGUAUUUGUCUCAAGAUUCUAGCGGUCCUGACAUCACAGUGACCCAGACCGUCGUCAUCAAUGGGAACUUGCUGGUAACCAGGUAUGUGAUAAAGUGUGUUAUCCCAAUACACGUAUCUGAUCCUCAGCUCUCGAGGUGAGUGAGGUUAGUGUCUCUAGCCCAGUGUACCGUGCUUUUUUGAAAGUUUCCGAUUGACUUCGUGGCUAGUCCUUUACCGAUUCGAGAUGAUGUGAUAGUAAGUCAUUAGGUCCAUUCACUUUGUAUUGGAGACAAAAUUUGUUUGACCCUGUGAGCGUUGAGGGGUAACACAUAUGCAACUAUUUACGACCGUGUCUUCCCCACAGUCCUCCCCAUGGGCUUUCUGCUGGUGUCCAGUGAAGUGACGCUGAGUUUGUCUGACAUCAGUGUUGAUCCUUGAUUACUGAAAGUACCAGGUGGAGUUUGUGUGCCUAUCAUGACGGAGUACCCAGGCUAUUUCCAGAUACUGGCUAACACAAGUCAUUUCCUCUAACGUAGAUUUCAUAAUGUCUUGACAGAUACCUGAAAAGACAUCACUGUACACCUGACAUGGAAGGAGAUGGCAGACGUGGCUGGUAUGUCCGCAGGUAGGUGAGGAUGUGGGUCUCAACCCCGGCACAGGCCGUCUGAUCUCCAGAUAGCUAGGUAAGUGACGAUGGUGUCUCUUAGCGUUGGGACCCUGAUUUCUUUGCAGGCAUUCGGGUACGAUUUGAUAGUCCUUACUGAUUCUAGAAACCAUGAGUGUUUACCGGUUAUAUUUUAGAAAAGACUUUUGCUUAGCCUUGUGAGAGUUGGGGGAUUGUCAUGUCCGUGUAAUUAACAUAUGCCCUCAACCACAGCCAUAACCGUGAAAAUGUUGCAGGUGUCCUGCGAAGACAUAUUGUCCUAACUGGUGAUGAUUUUGACCUUGGAGGAUGCCAAGCAUUCAGAUAGAGCUGAUGGGUCUCAUGAGGAGAAAGCGACCAAGGUUAUUGCAGGUGUCCUGGUAGAACAAAUUGUGUCCCUUUACACAUGUGUUGUAUUGUGUUUUUUAGGUGUCCGUCAACGAGUUCAGUGCACCUGACAAGGGUCAUCAAGGCGGGGACAUUUCUGGCCUUCAGGUAUAUGAUGAGGUGUACCUUCACUGUAUCAGACCCUCUGAUCUUCAGGAAUCUAUUUGUGCUAAGUUUGUUAAUUGCUUGAACUUGUUUACCAUGUGGGUUAUGUGAAGCAUUCUGGGAGAAAUGAUAGUAUUGUUACCAAGUCUAGCAAUGUAUUAUCCCACCAUUUGAUGCUUUAGAGGAAAUUACAUUUAACCAUGUGAAUAUUUAGUGAUUCAUGGCUAUUCACGUAACAAUCAUGGAGUUGUGGGUCACACGCGUUACCAUGGUAUUUUGGUAGGUGAGCCAUGAAGACAUAAUGGCGUCUGACAGUGGCCUAGACCUUGGCGUACUGCAAGACCCCAAGUAGGUUUGAUGGGUCCUACAGUGAUGGAAGCGUACACAGAUACUUCCCAUGUCCUGCUAGAGGGGGUUAUACAUGGACCCGUUUAUCAUACGUGGUUUUCACUCGAUCUUAGCCAAGACGCUGAGGAGUGAUGUCACAAUGUGUUUUUCCCGGUCCUGUCGAGAAAUCACAGUGAGCCUCAUAAUGACCAGACCUAGGACUGUGCCUUUCCAGGUGAGUGAUCACGCAGGCCUUCACCCUGGAAACAACCUAGCCAUCUGAUAAGUGGAUAAGUGUGGUUGGAUUUUCCAAGUUGUUGUUAGUAAGCUUUUGUCUUCGUUUUUGUUUUGACAUGUAUUGGGUUAAGAAAUGAUACGGUCCCAACAAAUGGUAGGAUGCAUGUUAGUAAGUAAUUUAAAGUUUAUUUGUUUUUUUUAAAGUUUAGAUAGAAUGUGUGUUUAGCCCUAGUGGUGACAGAGGGAUACACAGGUGUGCAAGUCCGUUCUCCUACCAGCACAGUCAUGAGCCUGAAAUCGUAGGGGUACUCAGGAGAUGAUGGUUUCUCUAACAGUGGAGUUGACCUUGAAGUUCUAGUUGCACCAAGGUCCAAAGUGUUGAUGAUUCCUCUAAUGAUGGAAAUAUCUUACAUGUCAGUUGUGUUUUUUCAGGUUAUGGUAGUCCGUCAUGUUACAGUGACCCUGGUUAUGCUCUUUCAUGGGACCCUGCUAGUCACCUGGUAAGUGGUAUUGUGGAUGUGACAGUGUAGUUGAGAUCACCUGUUCUUGAGAAGUCUAGGUAACUGAGGAGGGUGUCCCAAACACUAACCACAGCGUUAACAUGUUCUCUCUGCUCAUAUCUUGUUAAAGUCUUUAUGUUGCACACGUAUGAGAUGAUGUCACAUUAACUCAUUAGACCUCCCUAUUUUCAGAUGUGUUUGUAAUUAAUGAUGUUUUGAAUGCUCUUACAUUACACAUGCUUUUGGCUUAUAUGCAGUAGUUUAAUUUGUAAACACCGUAUUCUUGCAGGAGCCCUGAUAAAACAUGAUGGUCUCUCUGAUAAAAGUGUCGACCCAAAUUAAAGGAAUCAUCAAAGAAGAGUUGAUGUGUUCCAUAAUAAUGGAAGUAAAAAGGAAUAUUAGCAGGUGUUCUGGUAGAACAGUUUGUACUUCAACAGACUUUUCUUAUGUGUUUGUUUUUAGGUUCUUGUCAAGAAAACCCAGUGAACCUCACCGUAUUCACUGAUGGAAGCUUGCUCUUAACCUGGUAUCCCAUUAAGGCCUUCGCUACUAUGCAGGUAUGAGAUGAUGUGCCAUUGACUUAGACAUUAUUUGCAGAGCUCUGUGUGACUAACGAUAUUAUUCAGGCUCUUACAUAACUUAGCGUUAGGCAUGUAGGCAGUUAAGACAUCCAGUUGUCCCUAACAAUCAUAGUAUGCGUGAGAAUUUGUUCGUUUAGAGAGAAUGUGUUUUGGACUGAUAGGGAAUCGUUUAGAGAGAAUUUGUUUCAGACAUCGAGGGAAUUCAUCAUACUGUUCAUUGCUUUGUUGCUAACAAUGGGAAUUUUCUAGGUAUUCUUCAAGAGAAGAAGGUGGCUCCUACUGUGGGCUGACCUCAGAGUUUUGCAAGUAUUCAGGUAUGGUUGAUGGUGUUGAAAUGAUACAAAUGACCAAGGGCAUUUGGAGGUCUAGAGGUAGAAUGAUUCAUGAACCAAAGACAUUUUUCACAGUGCCUUUUUCAGAUUCAUGUCAAGACCUCACCGCAAGCUUACCAAUGAUAACCUGGGACAUUGCUGUUACCAACGUAAGUGAUGUGGGCCUAAACCAUAGCACAGAUCAUCUGAUCUUCACAUACAGAGGUUAAGAGGUGAUGAGUAUCUCUAAUGCUUCUUGUUAACACGCUUCUUACAAGGAUUCAAUUAAUGAAGGACAGAUUCCAACCAAUUCUGGGAACCAUUGUUUCUCAUACUUUAUAUUGAAGCGAAAAAUUAUGUUUACCUCUGUGAGUGUUGAGGGAUUGUGUGUAUCCAAACAAUUGUCGUGAUGUUCUGUCCUAAUAAGUAACCAUGGGAUUGUUAUAAGUGUCCCGUUGUUAAAUGAUAGUGUUCUCUGAAAGUGGUGUUGACCUUGAAUUAAUCCAAGGAUCCAGGUAGAUUUAGAGAGCUUCAGCUUAAAAAAAACAAAGCUCUAUCCCUUAAUACAUACUUCACAAAAUGUUUUUAGGUUCUUGUCAAGAUACCAUGAUGAACCGAAAGUCAUUAACAGGGGGGACAUCUCUGGUAUGCAGGUAAGUGAGGACAGGCACAUCACAGACCCUCUGAUCUUUGUCUAUCUGGGUGAAUGAUGCUGGAUUGUCAAAACCUGUUUCACCAUGUGAGUUCCUAGCACAUGUUCAGGUAAGCAUGCAAUAUAAUAUGUUGCCACUUGUAACAAUCAUGUUAUCCUGCUGUCCUGUUGCACAGAAAAUGAAUGUGUAACUAUGUGAGUAUGGAGUUAUGUGCAUUUAUGCAGGUAAUUGCCCUGGAAUUCUGCCUCACCAUUGUAACCAUGGUAUUUUAGAGAUGUGUAGUCAGGAGAUAAUGAGGGUAAAUGUGGCUAGCCCUUGAAUAUUGCAAACAUCCAGUGAAGUUGACGGAUCCGGCCAUGAUGGAAGUGAAGGAGGUUAUUUGUAGGUUAUUUGUCCAUUUGGAAUAUAUGUGUCCGUAGAUAAACAAUUUUGCCAAUGUGUUUUUCAGGUUCCACUCAUGAGAUCAUAGUGAACCUCCUCCUCUUCAUUACCAGAGACUUUGCAUGGAUCACAGGAAGUCAUGGUAUGAGCCAUAGGCAGCUUAAAGAUCAGGUGAUCUUCAGAUACUGAGGCAAAUGAGGAUGCUGUUCCUAACCUUUGUCUUACUAUUUUUGAUAGGUAUUCAGGUAAGAAACGAUCUCGUUCCUACUGAUGCUAGUAAGCAGUCGCCUUUGGUAGUUGAGAGUUUAGAUGUCAUGUAUGUUUAUACGUAGAAGGGACUGAGGGAUAAACAGGUGUCCACGUUAUCCCACUAUUCGAUACCAAACACUACGGACCAGGAGAUUUCUCCGGAAGAAACGAUGGUGUCUCUAACAGUGUCAACUUUGAAUUCUGCCAAGAUCGAGGUAGUGUGGAAGCUUCCCCAUUAACGGAGGUGACCAAGAUUAAUAGCAGAAGUUGUGGCAGCACACGUUUUCUUUCUUUCUUUCUUUAUUUAGAAAAAGGUUGUGUUCUUAAACACAAUCAUUGCACGUGUUUUCUCAGGUCCCAGGCACGAACUCACAGCAAGUGUAGAAACGGUCGUUAUUGGGACAAUGUUUGUAAGCAAGUGAGCGAGACUGUAGGUCUUUCUAUGAUGUAGACUAUCUCAUCUCCAGUGUCUAGGUUAGGAUGUGUCCCCAGCACAUGCGUUCUGCUUUUGUAUGUAUCCCAUUAAGGUCUUUGCUAAGAGAGGUAUGAUGUGAUCAGACAGACACUCACUACAGACUUUUUGUUCUUUUCGGACACCUAGGUAAUUAAGGUUCCCAAGGGCCUUCCAAAAAUGUCGUCUGGGGGCCCAUAGACAGUUAAGCAUUUGAUGUGAAGUGAGCAUUUCUGGUAAGCAUGAGUAUUCACUGUCUUCUUGUAGAGGUAAUGUAUUUUUAUACUCCUAGUGGUAAUAGAUACGCAGGUAACCAUGGAAAUUUUGCAGAUGUCCCUUUAAGAAUGGAAGGAACCCUUACUAGGGAGUAACCUCCAAUUUAGGCAGUUCUUCAGGUGAACUUGAUGAGUUACAAAAUGAUACACCUGGCCAAGAGAAUUUUUGGUGGGUGUCCAUGUAAUGUGUCCUAAACACUUCGCAUGUUUUUCAGGGUCCUCUUUUUUUUUUUCUUUUCAACGUUUUUUAUUUAUUUUUGAGACAGAGACAGAGCAUGAACGG